rnacentral:rRNA from 1 species
AUGAAGCUGGAUUCGCUAGUAAUCGCGCAUCAGCCACGGCGCGGUGAAUACUUCCCGGGCCUUGUACACACCGCCCGUCAAGCCAUGGAAGCCGGGAGUGCCUGAAGUACGCGACCGCAAGGAGCGUCCUAAGGUAAAACCGGUGACUGGGGCUAAGUCGUAACAAGGUAGC